rnacentral:lncRNA from 1 species
CAUUUAACACAAGAGAAAAUGUGACAACUACGAAACACAGUUAUACCUUCGAUGUCUGUAGUAAUUUGAAAAAGUAAGAAAACUGAACGUAUUAGUGUCGGUGUCUGACAGAGACACAAACACAUCUUUAUUCAGAGGUAUCAGACACAGACACCAGACACAACAUCAACACUAACACUUCGAUGUUUGUAGUAAUUUGAAAAAGUAAGUAAACUGAACGUGUUAGUGUCGGUGUCUGACAUAGACACAUACACGUCUUUAUCAGAGAUAUAGACACAGACACCAGACACAACAUCAACACUAACACUUCGUGUUUGUAGUAAUUUGAAAAAGUAAGUAAACUGAACGUGUUAGUGUCGGUGUCUGACAUAGACACAUACACGUCUUUAUUCAGAGAUAUAGACACAGACAGACACAACAUCAACACUAACACUUCGAUGUUUGUAGUAAUUUGAAAAAGUAAUAAACUGAACGUGUUAGUGUCGGUGUCUGCAUAGAACAUACACGUCUUUAUUCAGAGAUAUCAGACACAGACACCAGACACAACAUCAACACUAACACUUCG